rnacentral:rRNA from 1 species
UACGUAGGGUGCAAGCGUUGUCCGGAAUUAUUGGGCGUAAAGAGCUCGUAGGCGGUUUGUCGCGUCUGCUGUGAAAACUCGGGGCUUAACCCCGGGCCUGCAGUGGGUACGGGCAGACUAGAGUGCGGUAGGGGAGACUGGAAUUCCUGGUGUAGCGGUGAAAUGCGCAGAUAUCAGGAGGAACACCGGUGGCGAAGGCGGUUCUCUGGGCAUUACCUGACGCUGAGGAGCGAAAGCGUGGGGAGCAAACAGG